GUGAACGCUGGCGGUAGGCCUAACACAUGCAAGUCGAACGGCAGCACAGUAAGAGCUUGCUCUUACGGGUGGCGAGUGGCGGACGGGUGAGGAAUACAUCGGAAUCUACUUUUUCGUGGGGGAUAACGUAGGGAAACUUACGCUAAUACCGCAUACGACCUACGGGUGAAAGCAGGGGAUCUUCGGACCUUGCGCGAUUGAAUGAGCCGAUGUCGGAUUAGCUAGUUGGCGGGGUAAAGGCCCACCAAGGCGACGAUCCGUAGCUGGUCUGAGAGGAUGAUCAGCCACACUGGAACUGAGACACGGUCCAGACUCCUACGGGAGGCAGCAGUGGGGAAUAUUGGACAAUGGGCCCAAGCCUGAUCCAGCCAUACCGCGUGGGUGAAGAAGGCCUUCGGGUUGUAAAGCCCUUUUGUUGGGAAAGAAAAGCAGCAGGUUAAUACCCCGCUGUUCUGACGGUACCCAAAGAAUAAGCACCGGCUAACUUCGUG
rnacentral:rRNA from 1 species